rnacentral:rRNA from 1 species
AACGAACGCUGGCGGCAUGCCUAACACAUGCAAGUCGAACGAGACCUUCGAGUCUAGUGGCGCACGGGUGCGUAACGCGUGGGAACCUGCCCUUAGGUUCGGAAUAACUCCCCGAAAGGGGUGCUAAUACCGGAUAAUGUCUUCGGACCAAAGAUUUAUCGCCUUUGGAUGGGCCCGCGUUGGAUUAGCUAGUUGGUAGGGUAAAAGCCUACCAAGGCGACGAUCCGUAGCUGGUCUGAGAGGAUGAGCGGCCACACUGGGACGGAGACACGGCCCAGACUACUACGGGAGGGAGCAGUGGGGAAUAGUGCAGUAGGGGCGGACGCCUGAUGCAGCAACGCCGCGUGCGGGAUGACGGCCUUCGGGUUGUAAACCGCUUUCGCCUGUGACGAAGAGGGAGUGACGGUAAUGGGUAAAGAAGCACCGGCUAACUACGUG